UACGAAGGGGGCUAGCGUUGCUCGGAAUCACUGGGCGUAAAGCGCACGUAGGCGGAUUGCUAAGUCAGGGGUGAAAUCCUGGAGCUCAACUCCAGAACUGCCUUUGAUACUGGUGAUCUUGAGUCCGGGGAGAGGUGAGUGGAACUGCGAAGUGUAGAGGUGAAAUUCGUAGAUAUUCGCAAGAACACCAGUGGCGAAGGCGGCUCACUGGCCCGGUACUGACGCUGAGACGCGAAAGCGUGGGGGAGCGAACAGGA
rnacentral:rRNA from 1 species